UACAGAGGUCUCGAGCGUUAGGCGGAAUCACUGGGCUUAAAGCGUGUGUAGGUGGAUGCCUAAGUACCUUGUGAAAUCCCACGGCUUAACCGUGGAACUGCUUGGUAUACUGGGUGUCUUGAGUCACUCAGGGGCGAGCGGAACAAAUGGUGGAGCGGUGAAAUGACGUAGAUAGUCAUUUGGAACGCCAAUUGGGUGAAAACAGCUCGCUGGGGGUGCAACUGACACUGAGACACGAAAGCCAGGGGAGCGAACGGG
rnacentral:rRNA from 1 species